rnacentral:lncRNA from 1 species
ACAGCGCCUCCAUAAGAUCCACUUGUCUCUCUCAAUUUUAAAACAGCUCAUACCAAUUACCCAAUAAGAUUUCUCUCUCAUUUGUUAAAGUAUGGCAGUGCAUACAAGGCAGAGAGUUGUUAUGCUUUUAACGUGAACAUACUUCACGUUCAUACAGUCACAAAAACAACAUCUCUCAUUUUCUUUCUCACCACACAUAACCAUUCCAUUAAAAAAUUAUUCCUUCAACAAAUAUCACCUCUCUUUCAAUGUAGUAACUACACAUUUCCAUAUAAUUCCCUCCUUUUAUUUUAUACUAUUUCUCCUCCCACAUAUCCAACUAACUCCUUCAUCUACCAAUCAAGCACCAUAAACCUCACAUAAGAUUUCAAAGAAAAAUAUUGCAUUAUUUUCAUAUCUUCACCCCAAAAGCAACCAUUAAAAACUCACUUGAAUCUCUCUUUCCUAACCUUUUUUUUUCUUCUUUUGCCCAUGAAAAAUGAACUACAAAAAAUAUAUAUAUAUUCCAUUUUCAUUCUAUGAUUCCCACAAUGAGUAGCAUUUUGAAAAAAGAAGAGAAAGAAGCUUUUUUAUGCUACUGAGUUUAUUUAUUUUUGUAUGAUUUUGUUUUUCCACUAUUUUUUUUAGUUAAUCUUUGCCAUGUGUCCAAGGGAGAUUCGUUGGCCUUGAAAAUUUGAAAAGAGGCGCUGUCUCAUUUUGGCUAUCACAUUUUCAUAUUUUAUUUACUUUGUUUAUUUUUAGUUAUAAUUACUGUAUUAUCUAUUAUUAUUAUUAUUAUUAUUAUUAUUAAUAAAUUAAGGUCAGUAUAUAUGUUCUAUUGGGUCUAGUUUUGUUUACAUCCUCUUGUUAGUUAUAAUUUUUUACUUUUGACUAGUUUUUAG